UGGGGAAUAUUGGACAAUGGGGGGAACCCUGAUCCAGCCAUGCCGCGUGUGUGAAGAAGGUCUUCGGAUUGUAAAGCACUUUAAGUUGGGAGGAAGGGCAGUAAGCGAAUACCUUGCUGUUUUGACGUUACCGACAGAAUAAGCACCGGCUAACUCUGUGCCAGCAGCCGCGGUAAUACAGAGGGUGCAAGCGUUAAUCGGAUUUACUGGGCGUAAAGCGCGCGUAGGCGGCUAAUUAAGUCAAAUGUGAAAUCCCCGAGCUUAACUUGGGAAUUGCAUUCGAUACUGGUUAGCUAGAGUGUGGGAGAGGAUGGUAGAAUUCCAGGUGUAGCGGUGAAAUGCGUAGAGAUCUGGAGGAAUACCGAUGGCGAAGGCAGCCAUCUGGCCUAACACUGACGCUGAGGUGCGAAAGCAUGGGGAGCAAACAGG
rnacentral:rRNA from 1 species